rnacentral:rRNA from 1 species
UACGGGGGGGGCAAGCGUUGUUCGGAAUUACUGGGCGUAAAGGGCUCGUAGGUGGCCAACUAAGUCGGACGUGAAAUCCCUCAGCUUAACUGGGGAACUGCAUCCGAUACUGGAUGGCUUGAGUUUGGGAGAGGGAUGCGGAAUUCCAGGUGUAGCGGUGAAAUGCGUAGAUAUCUGGAGGAACACCGGUGGCGAAGGCGGCGUUCUGGACUGCAACUGACACUGAGGAACGAAAGCCAGGGGAGCAAACGGG